UGAAGUCCCUUCGGGAGUGUAAACUACCUUUCGAUCGGGACGAUUAUGACGGUACCGGAAGAGGAAGCACCGGCUAACUCUGUGC
rnacentral:rRNA from 1 species